rnacentral:rRNA from 1 species
UGCAAGUCGAGCGGACCGACGGGAGCUUGCUCCCUUAGGUCAGCGGCGGACGGGUGAGUAACACGUGGGUAACCUGCCUGUAAGACUGGGAUAACUCCGGGAAACCGGGGCUAAUACCGGAUGCUUGAUUGAACCGCAUGGUUCAAUCAUAAAAGGUGGCUUUUAGCUACCACUUGCAGAUGGACCCGCGGCGCAUUAGCUAGUUGGUGAGGUAACGGCUCACCAAGGCGACGAUGCGUAGCCGACCUGAGAGGGUGAUCGGCCACACUGGGACUGAGACACGGCCCAGACUCCUACGGGAGGCAGCAGUAGGGAAUCUUCCGCAAUGGACGAAAGUCUGACGGAGCAACGCCGCGUGAGUGAUGAAGGUUUUCGGAUCGUAAAACUCUGUUGUUAGGGAAGAACAAGUACCGUUCGAAUAGGGCGGCACCUUGACGGUACCUAACCAGAAAGCCACGGCUAACUACGUGCCAGCAGCCGCGGUAAUACGUAGGUGGCAAGCGUUGUCCGGAAUUAUUGGGCGUAAAGCGCGCGCAGGCGGUUUCUUAAGUCUGAUGUGAAAGCCCCCGGCUCAACCGGGGAGGGUCAUUGGAAACUGGGGAACUUGAGUGCAGAAGAGGAGAGUGGAAUUCCACGUGUAGCGGUGAAAUGCGUAGAGAUGUGGAGGAACACCAGUGGCGAAGGCGACUCUCUGGUCUGUAACUGACGCUGAGGCGCGAAAGCGUGGGGAGCGAACAGGAUUAGAUACCCUGGUAGUCCACGCCGUAAACGAUGAGUGCUAA